rnacentral:tRNA from 1 species
CCUCUCGUCGUUCAAUGGAUAGGAUAGUCCCCUCCGAAGGGACUGAUGUCGGUUCGAUUCCGGCCGGGAGGACAA